rnacentral:rRNA from 1 species
AUUGAACGCUGGCGGCAGGCUUAACACAUGCAAGUCGAACGAGUGGCGGACGGGUGAGUAAUGCUUGGGAAACUGGCUUAUGGAGGGGGAUAACGACUGGAAACGGUAGCUAAUACCGCGUACCAUCGGAUGUGCCCAGUGGGGAUUAGGUAGUUGGUGGGGUAAUGGCCAACCAAGCCGACGAGCUCUAGCUGGUCUGAGAGGAUGACCAGCCACACCGGAACUGAGACACGGCCCGGACUCCUACGGGAGGCAGCAGUGGGGAAUAUUGCGCAAUGGGGGCAACCCUGACGCAGCCAUGCCGCGUGAAUGAAGAAGGCCUUCGGGUUGUAAAGUACUUUCGGUGACGAGGCGUUAAUCACAGAAGAAGCACCGGCUAACUCCGUGCCAGCAGCCGCGGUAAUUC